GUCGAGCGGUAGCACGGAAAGAGCUUGCUCUCUGGGUGACAAGCGGCGGACGUUAGAGUAAUGUCUGGGAAACUGCCUGAUGGAGGGGGAUAACUACUGGAAACGGUAGCUAAUACCGCAUAACCUCGCAAGAGCAAAGAGGGGGACCUUAGGGCCUCUCGCCAUCAGAUGUGCCCAGAUGGGAUUAGCUAGUAGGUGAGGUAAUGGCUCACCUAGGCGACGAUCCCUAGCUGGUCUGAGAGGAUGACCAGCCACACUGGAACUGAGACACGGUCCAGACUCCUACGGGAGGCAGCAGUGGGGAAUAUUGCACAAUGGGCGCAAGCCUGAUGCAGCCAUGCCGCGUGUGUGAAGAAGGCCUUCGGGUUGUAAAGCACUUUCAGCGAGGAGGAAGGCGGUAAGGUUAAUAACCUUAUCGAUUGACGUUACUCGCAGAAGAAGCACCGGCUAACUCCGUGCCACCAGCCGCGGUAAUACCGAGGGUGCAAGCGUUACUCGGAAUGACUGGGCGUAAAGCGCACGCCCGCGGGCUGUUAACUUGGAUGUGAAAUCCCCGGGUUUAACCUGGCAACUGCAUUCAAAACUGACUGGCUAUAGUCUUGUA
rnacentral:rRNA from 1 species